AUGGAUCCUGAAAUGAGGGAUCGUGUUAGGAAGAGGGAGGAGGAGGAUGACGAAAUGAUGUUAUUUGUUUUCCCUGCACUACAUUUGAUAGAGACCGGUGGAGUUGCUCUUAGGGAGCGGAGGAUUCCGCGUCAUACAUCAUCGCUAACAGGCGAGAUGUUUGUUAAGGAGUUACUCGAAGGGCACGUCAAAAACUGUCGGGUAGCAUUUAGGAUGGAGCUGCGUAUCUUCAAAUCUUUGGCUAAUUAUCUUCGAAGGGAGAAGUUGGUGAAAGAUACCAGAAUUAAAGUCAAAGAGAAACUAGCAUCAUUUCUGUGGAUGUUAUCCCAUAAUUCUUCAUUUGAAGACCUUCAAGUUCGGUUUGGUCACAGCGGGGAUACUUUCCAUUGGCAAAUGAAGAAUUUCUUUGACAUCAUCCCUAUUCUCUCCAAGCAUUUUUUGAAGCCUCCAAAUCCCAGUCAAGUGCAUCCGAAGAUUCAGUCGGACACGAGAUUCUUUCCUUAUUUUCAGAACUGCAUUGGGGCAAUUGAUGGGACACAUGUUCCCAUAACAAUUUCAGGAGAAAAAGCCGCACCAUUCAGAAAUAGGAAAGGGACCCUAAGCCAUAAUGUUAUGGUCGUGUGCGACUUCGACCUGAACUUCACCUUCAUUUCUUGUGGCUGGGAGGGAUCUGCUACCGAUGCUAAAGUUCUCCGGUCAGCACUUAAUAGUGGGUUUCAUGUACCUUCGGGCAAGUUUUAUCUGGUUUAUGGUGGUUAUGCCGACACACCUUACUUCUUGGCACCGUAUCGUGGUGUUCGGUACCAUCUGAAGGAGUUUGCACGUGGUCGCCGUCGACCCAAAAAUCACAGGGAGCUAUUCAAUCUCUGGCAUGCCAUGUUACGAAAUCACGUCGAAUGGGGAUUAGGAAUCUUGAAGAAGCGGUUCCCAAUCCUAAAAGUGGGCACGCAUCAUCGAAUAGAGAACCAAGUCAAGCUACCAGCAGCGGCGGCAAUCUUACAUAACAUCAUCCGUUCUGAAAAAGGAGAUGAGCGUUGGUUAGAUAACCAACCAAACAAUAUACCUGUCAUGAAUUUUGUUGAUCUUCCUGACGGUGAUAUUCCUCAAAAUCAUCAAAUCAACCAUGAAGGCGACAACCUUAGAGAUGCCAUUGCUCAUCAAAUGUGGGAUGAUUAUCGACAUGCAUAA
rnacentral:rRNA from 1 species